GAUCCAACGGGCUUCCGUACCGAGUUAGACAAUCGCUGAUAGCUGCUGCUCACAGUUUUUCGCGAACAGUUUUCAGUCACACUAUGGCAUCGCCUGCAAUGAUCACCGUCCCGACCACCGCCUCCCGGUUUGCUCUGCUCCAGAUAGACUCCGAUUCGGAGUCGGAUACCUCCGAGCCGGGGAAGUCAACCACCAAAGCCGGAAAAGAGGCUUCCGGGAAGCAUCGACAAGGAAAAGCAGGAGCAGCAGCUGGGGGGAAGGCUGCCCAGGGCAACGACAAGAAGAAAGACAAGAAGAA